rnacentral:rRNA from 1 species
CUAUCCAUGGCCAGGUUGAAGCGAGAGUAAAAUCUCGUGGAGGACCGAACCACGUUGGUGUUGAAAAACCAUGGGAUGAGCUGUGGAUAGCGGAGAAAUUCCAAUCGAACUCGGAGAUAGCUGGUUCUCCUCGAAAUAGCUUUAGGGCUAGCGUCGUGUAAUUGAGUAAUGGAGGUAGAGCACUGAAUGGGCUAGGGGCUAUAGUAGUUACCGAACCCUAUCAAACUCCGAAUGCCAUAUACUUGUAUCACGGCAGUCAGACUGCGAAUGAUAAGAUCCGUAGUCAAAAGGGAAACAGCCCAGACCAUCAGCUAAGGUCCCAAAGUGUAAGUUAAGUGGAAAAGGAUGUGGGAUUUCUAAGACAACUAGGAUGUUGGCUUAGAAGCAGCCACUCAUUUAAAGAGUGCGUAAUAGCUCACUAGUCAAGAGAUCCUGCGCCGAAGAUGUCCGGGGCUCAAACUUACCACCGAAGCUAUGGGUGUACACUAUGUGUACGCGGUAGAGGAGCUUUCUGUAUGGGUUGAAGUCGUACCGUAAGGAGCGGUGGACUGUACAGAAGUGAGAAUGCUGGCAUAAGUAGCGAGAAAUAAGUGAGAAUCUUAUUGGCCGAAAACCUAAGGUUUCCUGGGGAAGGUUCGUCCGCCCAGGGUUAGUCGGGACCUAAGCCGAGGCCGAAAGGCGUAGGUGAUGGACAAUCGGUUGAUAUUCCGAUACCGCCUAUUUACGUUUGAGAAAUGGGGUGACGCAGUAGGAUAAGAUGUGCGCACUAUUGGAUGUGCGUCUAAGCAUUUAGGCAUGCUUGAUAGGUAAAUCCGUCGAGCUAAGCUGAGGUGUGAUGGGAGCCAUUUAUGGCGAAGUAUCUGAUUCCACACUGCCAAGAAAAGCCUCUAUCGAGUGAAUAGGUGCCCGUACCGCAAACCGACAGGUAGGUGAGGAGAGAAUCCUAAGGCCAUCGGAAGAAUUGCUGUUAAGGAACUCGGCAAAUUGACCCCGUAACUUCGGGAGAAGGGGUGCCUACGAAAGUAGGCCGCAGAGAAUAGGCCCAAGCAACUGUUUAGCAAAAACACAGGUCUCUGCUAAAGCGAAAGCUGAUGUAUAGGGGCUGACGCCUGCCCGGUGCUGGAAGGUUAAGGGGAACACUUAGCGUAAGCGAAGGUGUGAACUUAAGCCCAGUAAACGGCGGCCGUAACUAUAACGGUCCUAAGGUAGCGAAAUUCCUUGUCGGGUAAGUUCCGACCCGCACGAAUGGCGUAAUGAUUUGGGCACUGUCUCAACAGCAAAUCCGGCGAAAUUGUAGUGCAAGUGAAGAUGCUUGCUACCCGCGAUUGGACGGAAAGACCCCGUAGAGCUUUACUGUAGCUUAGCAUUGAAUCUCGGUAUUGUCUGUACAGGAUAGGUGGGAGACUUGGAAGCUUGGGCGUCAGCCUGAGUGGAGUCAUCCUUGGGAUACCACCCUGACAGUACUGGGGUUCUAACCGGCGGCCAUGAAUCUGGUCACGGGACAUUGUUAGGUGGGCAGUUUGACUGGGGCGGUCGCCUCCUAAAAAGUAACGGAGGCGCCCAAAAGUUCCCUCAGCGCGGUCGGAAAUCGCGCGAAGAGUGCAAAGGCAGAAGGGAGCUUGACUGCGACACAUACAGGUGGAGCAGGGACGAAAGUCGGGCUUAGUGAUCCGGUGGUACCUCGUGGGAGGGCCAUCGCUCAACGGAUAAAAGCUACCUCGGGGAUAACAGGCUGAUCUCCCCAAGAGUCCACAUCGACGGGGAGGUUUGGCACCUCGAUGUCGGCUCGUCGCAUCCUGGGGCUGAAGUAGGUCCCAAGGGUUGGGCUGUUCGCCCAUUAAAGCGGCACGCGAGCUGGGUUCAGAACGUCGUGAGACAGUUCGGUCCCUAUCCGUCGCGGGCGUAGGAAAUUUGAGAGGAGCUGUCCUUAGUACGAGAGGACCGGGAUGGACCAACCUCUGGUGCACCAGUUGUCACGCCAGUGGCACAGCUGGGUAGCUAUGUUGGGACUGGAUAAACGCUGAAAGCAUCUAAGCGUGAAGCCAACCUCAAGAUGAGAUUUCCCAUAGCGUAAGCUAGUAACUCCUGGAAGAACACCAGGUUGAUAGGUCAGAGAUGUAAGCAUGGCAACAUGUUAAGUUGACUGAUACUAAUAAGUCGAGGGCUUGACCAAAA